rnacentral:rRNA from 1 species
CCAGAGAACUUAGCAGAGAUGCUUUGGUGCCUUCGGGAACUCUGAGACAGGUGCUGCAUGGCUGUCGUCAGCUCGUGUUGUGAAAUGUUGGGUUAAGUCCCGCAACGAGCGCAACCCUUAUCCUUUGUUGCCAGCGGCUCGGCCGGGGAACUCAAAGGAGACUGCCGGUGAUAAACCGGAGGAAGGUGGGGAUGACGUCAAGUCAUCAUGGCCCUUACGGCCAGGGCUACACACGUGCUACAAUGGCGCAUACAAAGAGAAGCGACCUCGCGAGAGCAAGCGGACCUCAUAAAGUGCGUCGUAGUCCGGAUUGGAGUCUGCAACUCGACUCCAUGAAGUCGGAAUCGCUAGUAAUCGUAGAUCAGAAUGCUACGGUCGAAUACGUUCCCGGGCCUUGUACACACCGCCCGUCACACCAUGGGAGUGGGUUGCAAAAGAAGUAGGUAGCUUAACCUUCGGGAGGGCGCUUACCACUUUGUGAUUCAUGACUGGGGUGAAGUCGUAACAAGGUAGGCGUAGCGAG